rnacentral:rRNA from 1 species
CCGUAGCCUGGUAGCGGGGGAUAACUAUUGGAAACGAUAGCUAAUACCGCAUAAUAGUAGAUGUUGCAUGACAUUUGCUUAAAAGGUGCAAUUGCAUCACUACCAGAUGGACCUGAGUUGUAUUAGCUAGUUGGUGGGGUAACGGCUCACCAAGGCAACGAUACAUAGCCGACCUGAGAGGGUGAUCGGCCACACUGGGACUGAGACACGGCCCAG